rnacentral:lncRNA from 1 species
GGAAAGGGAAACGGAAAGGGUGGCAUUAAAUACUGGCUAAUCUGUCAUUGCAAUUAAAGUUAAGGUCACACUUCCCUUUGCAGCAAGAGAAGACCCAAAGCAGCAUGACCAAGAAAGCUUUGUUUGUAAAGAACUUUUUCCAAGAUACUGUUUUUCUCCUGGAAAAUGUGGUUUAUCUAAUUGAUGACUGAGGAAAACCAUCUUUUUAAACUUCCCACUCAGUGAGUCACCCUGGGGUGUGUCUGCCUUGCAGCAUCCUGUGAGAUCCAGUAAUCUCAAGGGCAUGACCAACACAGCCCCAAACUCCUGCGUCAAGCGGAGCUACGGGUGCUGGGAAACCAGAACUAGCCAGUUUUCUAAACAGAGUGGUUAGCAAAAUUACAUGUUGUGAAAUGGGGCUCCAUCCUUUAAAGGAUCAUUACCUAUUUUUAAAAGAACCUGUCCAAUGAUUCUUCUUGACAGCCAGAUGUGGACAGAUGGUAAAUGCCAGAUAUUUGCAACAGAUAGAUUCCUGCCGUAAAUGAGCAAUCAAUACAACCAGUCCAUUCAAAGAGGGUGAAGCACAAAUGACGUUGUAAGCAUGGCCUUCCUCUGGACCCAUGGAGGCAAAACCAAAAACCUUGAAGGCUUUUCAUAAGAUGCAAAACAAAGAAGAAUCUGGAACUAGGAUUCAGAUGCCACCAGGAUUCAGAAUCUACAUCAUCUCUCCAAACUACACAUGGAACACGUCUCUUCUUGUCCAGCAAAGUGUUUGGUCUUAGCCUCUACACUGGAAGCUCCAUGCUGCUAACUGCCUACAGAGUGUAGAGUCUGGCUCCAGCAAGGAAGAAAAUGCCUGUGUAUUGAAAUCCUUGGUGAUGGCAAGCCACCAUGCUGCCAUGGAAUGAAAGAAAAAGCAGAGAAGACAAAGAGAUAGUCAUUACAUAAUCCUUUUCCAUUUUAUUCUACUGUCCCCUGUUUCCUCAGAAGCAACCGAAACUUCUUUAAACAUGGUCCCUCUUUAGUCCCUCUCUGCCUGGGAAACCACACAUCAUGUGCUACGGAUCCUAAAGAUCACAAUGCUUGGAGCUCUUUCAAAAACUGAAAAGGACUGCCAUCAGAGUAAAACAAAUUCAGCCCUGCCCCCAGCCCAGCCAUGCCCUAGUGGGGGUAUUUGUAUAUGGCACUGAAUCUUGUAGGCUCUGAAGUAAGGAUGCACCAUUAACUGUAUGGACUAUUAUGGUUUUUGAAGAUUUAGUCAAAAAAAACUUUAAGUGACUAGCCAAAGGUCUGAUCGGUGGCAAGCAGUGGCUGAUGCCACUCCUCUUCUCCCCUUUGUCUUUAUCAUGGGGGAUUUUGAAAUAGGAAGGCUUCACAGGAUCCUUCAAACCCUGAAAAUUACAUCUAAGUUGGUUGUAUCCACGAAGGAUCUUAUUUUUAAAGAAGGUAUCUGUAUAUGUUUUCCAGGGUUGUCUUAACUAAGCACCAUACAUCUAACCAACAGAAACAUAUUACCUUGCAGUUCAGGUGGUUGAGCC